UACGUAGGUGGCGAGCGUUGUCCGGAUUUACUGGGCGUAAAGCGCGCGCAGGCGGACUGAUCAGUCUGGGGUGAAAUCUCACGGCUCAACUGUGAGCGGUCCCUGGAUACUGUCAGUCUUGAGAUGUCUAGAGGAGAGCGGAAUUCCCGGUGUAGUGGUGGAAUGCGUAGAUAUCGGGAGGAACACCGGUGGCGAAGGCGGCAUCCUGGACCGGUAUUGACACUGAGGCGCAAAAGCCAGGGGAGCAAACGGG
rnacentral:rRNA from 1 species